rnacentral:rRNA from 1 species
GGAGGGUGCAAGCGUUAAUCGGAAUUACUGGGCGUAAAGCGCACGCAGGCGGUCUGUCAAGUCGGAUGUGAAAUCCCCGGGCUCAACCUGGGAACUGCAUUCGAAACUGGCAGGCUUGAGUCUCGUAGAGGGGGGUAGAAUUCCAGGUGUAGCGGUGAAAUGCGUAGAGAUCUGGAGGAAUACCGCUGGCGAAGGCGGCCCCCUGGACGAAGACUGACGCUCAGGUGCGAAAGCGUGGGGAGCAAACAGGAUUAGAUACCCUGGUAGUCCACGCCGUAAACGAUGUCUACUUGGAGGCUGUGCCCUUGAGGCGUGGCUUCCGGAGCUAACGCGUUAAGUAGACCGCCUGGGGAGUACGGCCGCAAGGUUA